CAGUAGCCGCGGUAAUACGUAGGUGGCAAGCGUUGUCCGGAUUUAUUGGGCGUAAAGCGAGCGCAGGCGGUUUCUUAAGUCUGAUGUGAAAGCCCCCGGCUCAACCGGGGAGGGUCAUUGGAAACUGGGAGACUUGAGUGCAGAAGAGGAGAGUGGAAUUCCAUGUGUAGCGGUGAAAUGCGUAGAUAUAUGGAGGAACACCAGUGGCGAAGGCGGCUCUCUGGUCUGUAACUGACGCUGAGGCUCGAAAGCGUGGGGAGCGAACAGGAUUAGAUACCCCAGUAGUCCCUGUCUCUUAUAA
rnacentral:rRNA from 1 species